UGCGGUGUAGAGCAGCUGGUAGCUCGCAAGGCUCAUAUCCUUGAGGUCGUGGGUUCAAGCCCCAUCUCCGCAA
rnacentral:tRNA from 1 species